rnacentral:tRNA from 1 species
GCGGAUGUGGCGGAACUGGUAGACGCACUGGAUUUAGGUUCCAGCGCUGAAAGGCGUGGAGGUUCGAGUCCUCUCAUCCGCACCA